GAAAAAAAAGAAAAAGAAUGAGAGAAAUGCCCUAUGCUUCAUAUCUUUUAAAAACCUCUGGUAUUUGAUAUUGCCGUCAGCCCUUCCAGCCUUCUGCAGAAGACUCACUGAAGACGAAGACUUGUCUAUAUCCAUCCAAGUUGAAGUGAUGGAGACAUAUGUACAGGGAAUAAUGGAUGUUUCCCUAGAGCCUAAUCCAAGGGCUAAUAGGAGGCUGCAGAGAACUAGAUACAAGUCAUGGUCUGCUCCUUGAAAUUUCCUGGAGAAGUCGCCGAUUUAGUGAGGAUACAAAAGGUAUGUUUGCUUCUACAACAGUUGUUCUCAAGCCACUGGAGAAAAACGAAAAAAAAAAAAAAGAAACAAGUAAGCAAAAACAAUGUCCAUGUACAACCCCUUAGAUACCUGGAAUUAAAUAGCCUCAAUCUGAGCUCAAGUCUUGUUAUUUUUUUUUUAAUUUCUUUUUUAAAAAAACAAAUAUUUAUAUUGCAGAAAAUAUAUAUUUAUUGUUUGACUUUCUAUUAAUUAAGCAGUUUUUUGUACAAGGCUUUACAAAAUUAAACAAAUU
rnacentral:lncRNA from 1 species